rnacentral:rRNA from 1 species
GAUUAACGCUAGCGGCAGGCCUAAUACAUGCAAGUUGAACGGGAUUUCGGGUAGCAAUAUCUGGAUGAGAGUAGCGCACGGGUGCGUAACGCGUAUGCAACCUACCUUUAACUGGGGAAUAGCCUUCCGAAAGGAAGAUUAAUACCGCAUAAUACAAUGAUGAAGCAUUUCAUUAUUGUCAAAACUCAGGUGGUUAAAGAUGGGCAUGCGUCCGAUUAGCUAGUUGGUGAGGUAACGGCUCACCAAGGCUUCGAUCGGUAGGGGGUCUGAGAGGAUGAUCCCCCACACUGGUACUGAGACACGGACCAGACUCCUACGGGAGGCAGCAGUAAGGAAUAUUGGACAAUGGGCGCAAGCCUGAUCCAGCCAUGCCGCGUGCAGGAUUAAGGCCCUAUGGGUUGUAAACUGCUUUUAGUAGGGAAAAACCCUCGUUCGUGAACGAGGCUGAUGGUACCUACAGAAUAAGGAUCGGCUAACUCCGUGCCAGCAGCCGCGGUAAA